GACGAAGGAUGCAAGCGUUAUCCGGAUUCAUUGGGUUUAAAGGGUGCGUAGGCGGACUGAUAAGUCAGUGGUGAAAUCUCUCGGCUUAACCGAGAAACUGCCAUUGAUACUGUUAGUCUAGAGUACAGAUGAUGUGGGCGGAAUAUGACAUGUAGUGGUGAAAUACUUAGAUAUGUCAUAGAACACCGAUUGCGAAGGCAGCUCACAAAACUGUAACUGACGCUGAGGCACGAAAGUGCGGGGAUCAAACAGG
rnacentral:rRNA from 1 species